AGUGAACGCUGGCGGUAGGCCUAACACAUGCGAGUCGAACGGCAGCACAGUAAGAGCUUGCUCUUACGGGUGGCGAGUGGCGGACGGGUGAGGAAUACAUCGGAAUCUACCUUUUCGUGGGGGAUAACGUAGGGAAACUUACGCUAAUACCGCAUACGACCUACGGGUGAAAGCAGGGGAUCUUCGGACCUUGCGCGAUUGAAUGAGCCGAUGUCGGAUUAGCUAGUUGGCGGGGUAAAGGCCCACCAAGGCGACGAUCCGUAGCUGGUCUGAGAGGAUGAUCAGCCACACUGGAACUGAGACACGGUCCAGACUCCUACGGGAGGCAGCAGUGGGGAAUAUUGGACAAUGGGCGCAAGCCUGAUCCAGCCAUACCGCGUGGGUGAAGAAGGCCUUCGGGUUGUAAAGCCCUUUUGUUGGGAAAGAAAAGCAGCAGGUUAAUACCCCGCUGUUCUGACGGUACCCAAAGAAUAAGCACCGGCUAACUUCGUG
rnacentral:rRNA from 1 species